rnacentral:rRNA from 1 species
ACGAACGCUGGCGGCGUGCCUAAUACAUGCAAGUCGAGCGAGCUGAAUUCAAAGAUUCCUUCGGGGUGAUUUGUUGGAUGCUAGCGGCGGAUGGGUGAGUAACACGUGGGCAAUCUGCCCUAAAGACUGGGAUACCACUUGGAAACAGGUGCUAAUACCGGAUAACAACAUGAAUCGCAUGAUUCAAGUUUGAAAGGCGGCGCAAGCUGUCACUUUAGGAUGAGCCCGCGGCGCAUUAGCUAGUUGGUGGGGUAAAGGCCUACCAAGGCAAUGAUGCGUAGCCGAGUUGAGAGACUGAUCGGCCACAUUGGGACUGAGACACGGCCCAAACUCCUACGGGAGGCAGCAGUAGGGAAUCUUCCACAAUGGACGCAAGUCUGAUGGAGCAACGCCGCGUGAGUGAAGAAGGUCUUCGGAUCGUAAAGCUCUGUUGUUGGUGAAGAAGGAUAGAGGCAGUAACUGGUCUUUAUUUGACGGUAAUCAACCAGAAAGUCACGGCUAACUACGUGCCAGCAGCCGCGGUAAUACGUAGGUGGCAAGCGUUGUCCGGAUUUAUUGGGCGUAAAGCGAGCGCAGGCGGAAUGAUAAGUCUGAUGUGAAAGCCCAUCGCUUAACGGUGGGUCUGCGCCGGGUACGGGCGGGCUAGAGUGCAGUAGGGGAGACUGGAAUUCCCGGUGUAACGGUGGAAUGUGUAGAUAUCGGGAAGAACACCAAUGGCGAAGGCAGGUCUCUGGGCUGUUACUGACGCUGAGAAGCGAAAGCGUGGGGAGCGAACAGGAUUAGAUACCCUGGUAGUCCACGCCGUAAACGGUGGACGCUGGAUGUGGGGCCCAUUCCACGGGUUCCGUGUCGGAGCUAACGCGUUAAGCGUCCCGCCUGGGGAGUACGGCCGCAAGGCUAAAACUCAAAGAAAUUGACGGGGGCCCGCACAAGCGGCGGAGCAUGCGGAUUAAUUCGAUGCAACGCGAAGAACCUUACCUGGGCUUGACAUGUGCCUGUCGACUGCAGAGAUGUGGUUUCCCUUCGGGGCAGGUUCACAGGUGGUGCAUGGUCGUCGUCAGCUCGUGUCGUGAGAUGUUGGGUUAAGUCCCGCAACGAGCGCAACCCUCGCCCUGUGUUGCCAGCGGGUUAUGCCGGGAACUCACGGGGGACCGCCGGGGUUAACUCGGAGGAAGGUGGGGAUGACGUCAGAUCAUCAUGCCCCUUACGUCCAGGGCUUCACGCAUGCUACAAUGGCCGGUACAACGGGAUGCGACGUGGUGACAUGGAGCGGAUCCCUUAAAACCGGUCUCAGUUCGGAUCGUAGUCUGCAACUCGACUACAUGAAGGCGGAGUCGCUAGUAAUCGCGAAUCAGCAACGUCGCGGUGAAUGCGUUCCCGGGCCUUGUACACACCGCCCGUCAAGUCAUGAAAGUGGGCAGCACCCGAAGCCGGUGGCCUAACCCUUUUGGGAUGGAGCCGUCUAAGGUGAGGCUCGUGAUUGGAACGAAGUCGUAACAAGGUAGCCGUAAAGGGC